GAUGAACGCUGGCGGCGUGCCUAAUACAUGCAAGUCGAGCGAAUGGAUUAAGAGCUUGCUCUUAUGAAGUUAGCGGCGGACGGGUGAGUAACACGUGGGUAACCUGCCCAUAAGACUGGGAUAACUCCGGGAAACCGGGGCUAAUACCGGAUAACAUUUUGAACCGCAUGGUUCGAAAUUGAAAGGCGGCUUCGGCUGUCACUUAUGGAUGGACCCGCGUCGCAUUAGCUAGUUGGUGAGGUAACGGCUCACCAAGGCAACGAUGCGUAGCCGACCUAGGAGGGUGAUAGGCCACACUGGGACUGAGACACGGCCAAGACUCCACCGGGAGGCAGCAGUAGGGAAUCUUCCGCAAGGGACGAAAGUCUGACGGAGCAACGCCGCGUGAGUGAUGAAGGCUUUCGGGUCGUAAAACUCUGGUGUUAGGGAAGAACAAGUGCUAGUUGAAUAAGCUGGCACCUUGACGGUACCUAACCAGAAAGCCACGGCUAACUACGUGCCAGCCGCCGCCGUAA
rnacentral:rRNA from 1 species